UACGUAGGGUGCAAGCGUUAAUCGGAAUUACUGGGCGUAAAGCGUGCGCAGGCGGUGAUGUAAGACAGUUGUGAAAUCCCCGGGCUCAACCUGGGAACUGCAUCUGUGACUGCAUCGCUGGAGUGCGGCAGAGGGGGGAUGGAAUUCCGCGUGUAGCAGUGAAAUGCGUAGAUAUGCGGAGGAACACCGAUGGCGAAGGCAAUCCCCUGGGCCUGCACUGACGCUCAUGCACGAAAGCGUGGGGAGCAAACAGG
rnacentral:rRNA from 1 species